AUUCACCUUAAGAUCGUGCCAACAAGGGCCUAUCACAAAUUGGAGAUAAGGAUGGAGAAGAGAAACCUCUCUUAAUCAGAAUUACUCCUGGCAUGGAGGAGGAGCGGCUGGGAGUUGUAGCCGGAAGCCAGAGCACAUGUGUUGCAGCUGAAUCAAUCAGGAAGUGAUCGCGAUCGAUGGUGAUUAUCUACAGCAGGGGUCAGAGACUACAGCCACAGACCAAAUCCAGACUGCCACCUGUUUUUGAAAAAGAAGUUUUAUUGGAACAUAAACAUGGUCAUUCACUGAUGAAUAGCUCUAGUGGCUUUUACACUAAAACAGCAAAGUUGAUUAACUGCAGCCGAGAUCAUAUGGCCUGUAAAGCCAACAAGAUGUACUAUCUGGCCAUUUACAGUGAAAGAAAAAGGCAAAACUUUGCUGACCUCCCAUCUAUAAGAUCAUCUCUGAAAGGUACUACUUUAAGGCUCAGAAAAUUGAAGAAUUUUCUCAGCAUCACUAAAUAAAUUGGUGGUGACAUGGAGGGUAAAUGGGUCUCAGGGUAUUGCUGCAUAAUGUCUUAAGUAAAACAUAAGAAGAGGAAGGUAUCAACCAUCUCCUUGCUCCAAGCAAAACACCUCAAAACUCCCAAACAGAUGCAUAUCUGUACUGUUUCAGCAUAUCUCACUGGAUAUCUCUUUGAGUCUGGACGAAGAUUAUAUUUUUCCAUAGUUUUUUUUUUUUUUUAUGCUGGUACCAAAGGAAAAUACGCAGAGUUUCCAAAAGAGAGGGUGAAGUUUGAGAUGGCAACAACACUGCAAAAACAUGCCGGCAGAGCUCCAAACUCUCAUCAUGACAGCAGUAUCUAAUUAUUACACUAUACUUUGAGAAACCUGAUAUUAUGCAAACAAACUCCAGCUGCAUUUUAGGACAGCACAUACA
rnacentral:lncRNA from 1 species